UGGGGAAUAUUGGACAAUGGGGGCAACCCUGAUCCAGCAAUGCCGCGUGAGUGAUGAAGGCCUUAGGGUUGUAAAGCUCUUUUACCGGGGACGAUGAUGACGGUACCCGGAGAAUAAGCCCCGGCUAACUUCGUGCCAGCAGCCGCGGUAAUACGAAGGGGGCGAGCGUUGUUCGGAAUUACUGGGCGUAAAGGGCGCGUAGGCGGCGAACCAAGUCAGAUGUGAAAGUCCUGGGCUUAACCUGGGGACUGCAUUUGAUACUGAUUGGCUUGAAUUCGGGAGAGGAUAGCGGAAUUCCCAGUGUAGAGGUGAAAUUCGUAGAUAUUGGGAAGAACACCGGUGGCGAAGGCGGCUAUCUGGACCGACAUUGACGCUGAGGCGCGAAAGCGUGGGGAGCAAACA
rnacentral:rRNA from 1 species